GGGGGCGUGUUGUAAUUGGCAGCCUAGUUGUUUACCAAGUAUCUGGAGCGGGUUCAAAUCCCGUCGCCUCCACCA
rnacentral:tRNA from 1 species